rnacentral:rRNA from 1 species
AACGAACGCUGGCGGCAGGCCUAACACAUGCAAGUCGAGCGAGGACUUCGGUCCUAGCGGCGGACGGGUGAGUAACGCGUGGGAACGUGCCCUUUGCUUCGGAAUAGCCCUGGGAAACUGGGAGUAAUACCGGAUGAGCCCUUUGGGGGAAAGAUUUAUCGGCGAAGGAUCGGCCCGCGUUGGAUUAGGUAGUUGGUGGGGUAAUGGCCUACCAAGCCGACGAUCCAUAGCUGGUUUGAGAGGAUGAUCAGCCACACUGGGACUGAGACACGGCCCAGACUCCUACGGGAGGCAGCAGUGGGGAAUCUUAGACAAGGGGGGAAACCCUGAUCGAGCCAUGCCGCGUGAGCGAUGAAGGCCUUAGGGUUGUAAAGCUCUUUCAGCUGGGAAGAUAAUGACGGUACCAGCAGAAGAAGCCCCGGCUAACUCCGUG